UCUUACCAUGCAGUCGAACGGUAAGGCCCCUUCGGGGGUACACGAGUGGCGAACGGGUGAGUAACACGUGGGUGACCUGCCCUGUACUUCGGGAUAAGCCUGGGAAACUGGGUCUAAUACCGGAUAUGACCUUCCUCUGCAUGGGGGUUGGUGGAAAGCUUUUGCGGUACAGGAUGGGCCCGCGGCCUAUCAGCUUGUUGGUGGGGUAAUGGCCUACCAAGGCGACGACGGGUAGCCGGCCUGAGAGGGCGACCGGCCACACUGGGACUGAGACACGGCCCAGACUCCUACGGGAGGCAGCAGUGGGGAAUAUUGCACAAUGGGCGAAAGCCUGAUGCAGCGACGCCGCGUGAGGGAUGACGGCCUUCGGGUUGUAAACCUCUUUCAGUAGGGACGAAGCGCAAGUGACGGUACCUACAGAAGAAGCACCGGCCAACUACGUGCCAGCAGCCGCGGUAAUACGUAGGGUGCGAGCGUUGUCCGGAUUUACUGGGCGUAAAGAGCUCGUAGGCGGUUUGUCACGUCGUCUGUGAAAACCCGAGGCUUAACCUCGGGCCUGCAGGCGAUACGGGCAGACUUGAGUACUGUAGGGGAGACUGGAAUUCCUGGUGUAGCGGUGGAAUGCGCAGAUAUCAGGAGGAACACCGGUGGCGAAGGCGGGUCUCUGGGCAGUAACUGACGCUGAGGAGCGAAAGCGUGGGUAGCGAACAGGAUUAGAUACCCUGGUAGUCCACGCCGUAAACGGUGGGUACUAGGUGU
rnacentral:rRNA from 1 species